ACAGUAAUCAUAUAAAAGUGGACAUUUAUGUAAAUGUUUGUGUCUAAAGUCACUUCCCAUUGGCGUCGGCGGUACGGGACCUCUCAAAACUGCGGCCAAGAUUCACGUUUUCCAUCCCAUACCCAAUUUUGAAUGUGUGUUUAUUUCGUGUUUUUUUAAGUACAGUACAGUAUAUUAAUAACUUUAAGCUUCGUUUUCAAAACAUAAUGUCAUUGUUUAUUAAUUGUGAUUCUUUACAAAUGCUGUAGUACAACUUUUUAUACCUUUUUCUGCUUGUAUGUUUCAAUUCAGUUCAUGAAACUUUUAUUUGCAUAGUUUUGAAGAAGACUACAGUACCUAGUACUUAUAUUGAAUGUUUGCAUAUCAACAGUGCAGUACUUUAUCUUAAGUAAUAUUUUCAGGUACUUUCUCCAUCACUGCCUAAAGUGGACCUGAUGUGAACUAGAAUGAAGUUGGCUGGAUAUAAAGUUAACUGGACCUGAAGCUAACUGGACCUGAAGCUAACUGGACCUCAAGUAGUCUGUGAAGAAGUCGCCUCGGGCAACGGCAGCGGAAGCGCGAUCCGGGAGACGGACACGAAGAACGACCGUGGAUCGCCGCUCCGGAGACGGGUCGGCGAGUGCCGCUCUCCGACGUAAGACGAUCGUCGAGAAUAUCUUGCGGACGAGAGCGCCGACACGAGUCCGAGACGGAUCGUACGGUCGGCACGUCGGAGCGGUUUGGAUGAAGACAUUCGGGAACUGAGGACGAAGACGCUCGUCGAUCGCGGACGAAGACGCCGGUCGACGCGCGAGGAAGAUGCUCCGGAACACGGGAAGAAUACCACACUCGCGAUUGCGGGAAGAUACUCGUCAACUCAGAAGAGGAUGCGCAUCACUAUUGUAUAGCGACGGUUUUAAAGACGAUGUAAUGUGUAAAAUGAAUGCAUGUGUUGUUUGUAACGAUUGUUAUAAUGUUUGUAGUAUCGUUUUUAGAGACCGACUCCGCGAAGACGGAGGAAGUCGAUACGUGUCGAGAAUGAAUUUAUUGAAGAUGAUCAUCGUAGACAUGUUGCAAAUAGAUUGUAAAAAGUCACGCGUGGAGGGACAAACUCCGUAAAUAACGGCAGCGUAAAUACGAGACGACUCGGCGGCGGGGACGCGCGCCUCUCGAAAGUAAAAGAACGGGGGAGAUUGGACCGACAUAGACGGUGUUGUUGAGGUAACUGAUAAGAAUGGAGAAAUGAUGACUAUUUGGUGGGGUUUUUUUAGGACAGAGAGAGUAGUUAUAUAUUAGUAAAGAUAUAAAGUAAAAGGGGAUAAGGACGGCGGUGGGGUACAAGGAACGACACACUCUGUAGGGCAUUAAAGGAAUUGACGUGCGACUACCGAGUCGGCGUAAUUGUGAAAAAGAGAUGCGAGGGGGAUUUUGAAGAGAAGAAGAAGAAGUCGCGUGGUAGAGGAAUUGCGGGGAAAUUGGCGGAAGCGACGAUCGGUUACGGGAGAGGAUUUAACGAAUAACAUUUCGAUGCGGGACGGGAGACGACGAAUUUAGGGAAUGCCGGUUUAGGAUAGGGUCGUACGUAAAGCGGAGGGUGCGGGCGUCUGCGGAUACGGACGACGGAGAAUAGACGGGAAUGUGCAUCGAGACGAGGCGGUGGAGAAACGAAAGUGUCGGAGGUACCGCAGGGAAGUAUACCCGCGAGAUGUGUAAAGAAUGGUUUGGAAGUAGAGUUAGGUGAGAGUCAUGUGUUUGAAAUGGCGGGAAGGUUUGACAGGUGUAUUGGUUUUACGUAAUUGUGGCAGUCGGUUUGAGAGCGGGCAGCUGUGGAAUGCGCGCGGGUACCUAUUUUGAGACCGCGACAUCUACCGGUAAGGAAAUAUGCGAUGCAGCAGUAAUAUAUUUUUGGUUAAUAGUAGUUUCAUUUAUUUGGCAAGAAUUUUUACUCGUUCACCUGUACUCCGUGUUGCUCCACUCGUGUUAAGGCGUUUAUUGUGAAGGCGUCUGUAUAAUAAUAAAAUUUGGAGGACGAGUAGGAUAAGUGGAAGGGGAAGGAAUACGAGCACAAUGUUGAAUGUGUAAGCCCUCCCUUUUUUUGUCUUUUCCCUCUGCCUCCCUGUCCUCCUCCUCCUCUUCCUCCUGCUCCUCCUCUUUUGAUGUGUUCCUCGUUUCUUUGUUCGUCGAGUGGUUUCUUCUCCCUCCGUUUCAUUGUGACUCCCUUCGUCUUUCUCCCCUGUACCUGCUUCUGUCCCUCCUCUUCUUCCUGUUUCCUUCUUUUACUCCUCCUCUUUGUUCCCCCCCCCCUCCUCCUCCUCUUCGCCUUAUGUCUUCCUCGUUUCCAUGUUUAUUCUUUUGCUUGUUGUUCCUCUGUUCCUCCUCCUCCUCCUCCUCCUCUGUUUGAUUGUGAUUCCCUUUUUGUUUCUCACCCUCCCAUUCCUCUUGAUCCUGUUUGUUUUUUGUUGCUUUCUUUUCCUUUGUUGGUUGUUUUUGUGUCCCUGUAUACGUUUGUUGUUACCAAUUGAAUUUGUGGUUGUAUUACUGCUGCUGUGUGUAUGUUGGAUUGUAUUUAUUUGUGUUGUUAUAAAUAUGUUGUGAGUGUGAAUUAGAUAUAUUGUGUUGAUAUUUGACUAAAUUUUGUUGUUAAGAAGAGGAGGAGUUCUAUUUAGAUUUGGAAAGUAAUUGUCAUCGAGGACGAGAAUGCACGUACCGUCUGUAGUUUGAAUAUGCGGUCGCGUCGGGUUUGGGCAGUUAUAUAUCGGGAAAUAGUUGAAUUUUGUAAGUUAAUGUUGUGGACUUGUGAAAUUGAUGAGCAUGAAAUUGUUUAUUGUGGAAUAGUUAUUGGUUUUAAUUUGAAGGGUGUCAAUUGCGCACCGGGAAUAUUUUGUCGGGACUUUCGCGUCGUCGGAAUCGACCGGAACGGCCGCAAUAAAUUGCGGGUGUCGCGGAGUUAUUUUUUGUCGUCGUAGAUCCGUCCGUGGAGUCGUAAAAAAUGUGGCGUCGUCGACGAAAGUCAAUCGUCUGCGGAUCGGUCGUCUUGGAAUCGACGGAAGUUAAGCGCUGACUUGCAAUACAGUUUUGACGUGCAAUUCGUCGCGUCCGUUUUAUUGCAGUCGAGUUACGUGUAGACUUGUAUAUGUUUGUUUGUAAUUGAUUGAAGUUAUUUGUAGUGUGAAAAAUGUUUUGAGUUGUUGUUGUUGUUGUUUGAUUAUAGUAUAGUCAUUUGUGCAGUUUGAAUCUAUUUUGGUUUGUGGAUUUGGAAAAUGUGUUGCAUGUAUGUGGAAUUUGAAUAAGUGAGAUAUUUUGUGGAUUUUGUAUAUUUUUCAUGUUCGUGGACCGAAAUGUCGUACAGGUCGUACCUCUCUAGUCGGGCAACCUCGGGACCGGAACGGUGCCGUAUCAUGGAAAUUCACCCUUUUCCUGGAUAGAUAGUGACUUGUGCUUAUGCUUGGAAGCACUAGCACCAGU
rnacentral:lncRNA from 1 species